AUUCCGCUAUGUUGACACCUUUGAACUAAUUCAUUAAACCUCUCACAUGCUUCAAACACAGUUUCAAUAUCUUUCUGGCAGAAGUUAUGGAUUUCUCUUCUAAACUU
rnacentral:snoRNA from 1 species